GUGGGGAAUAUUGGACAAUGGGCGCAAGCCUGAUCCAGCCAUGCCGCGUGUGUGAAGAAGGCCUUUUGGUUGUAAAGCACUUUAAGCGAGGAGGAGGCUACUUGGAUUAAUACUCUAGGAUAGUGGACGUUACUCGCAGAAUAAGCACCGGCUAACUCUGUGCCAGCAGCCGCGGUAAUACAGAGGGUGCGAGCGUUAAUCGGAUUUACUGGGCGUAAAGCGUGCGUAGGCGGCUUUUUAAGUCGGAUGUGAAAUCCCUGAGCUUAACUUAGGAAUUGCAUGCGAUACUGGGAAGCUAGAGUAUGGGAGAGGAUGGUAGAAUUCCAGGUGUAGCGGUGAAAUGCGUAGAGAUCUGGAGGAAUACCGAUGGCGAAGGCAGCCAUCUGGCCUAAUACUGACGCUGAGGUACGAAAGCAUGGGGAGCAAACAGGAUUAGAUACCCGAGUAGUCC
rnacentral:rRNA from 1 species